UUUCGAAGUUCGUCGCAUAAAUUAUGCAAUUUUUCAAUGAUGUCUCAAUUUUCGUCCUUGAUAUUUUUUAUCCUUGGGUACAGAUGAAAUGGAAAUUCCUUUUUCAAAUUAUCGAUAAGUAAAAGGUGAAAGUGACCUUUAGAAAUUUUCUGUCGAAGAUUGCACCUUAGUUACUGCAUCCAAUUAGCAAACGCUGACAGUUGAUAAAUUUAGGAAAAAUUAUGAAAAUUGAAGUGUCGAAUCCAGCAUAUCAAACCCAGAUUCACCUGAAAAGCAAACAACAUUUUUACAAGCCUGAUAAGACGUCGGCUCACUUGUGAAAGAAUUCAACAUCUAAAAGAAAAGCUCUUCAGUCUACAGAAGGUUUUCAACAUAAAAAGAAACCAGUUGUAUUUCUGUCUGGUAUUCAAAUGAAAAAGUUGCAAGAUUUUUGGACUUUAUUACAUAGAAGAACAAUGUUACAGAUAAGCUUUGUAAGUGGGCGGUUCAAAUAUCAGUGCUGAAUGCAAAUGGACGAUGAAAGGACAAUCGAUGUGUCCGUGAUGCAAUGAAUGCUGCUUCUAUAAGCUAAAGCGCAAAAAGUGUCUUCAGUCCAAUCGCAUUCGACUACAAGUAAGAUCGUAUGAUUUUGGAAUCUUGGUAGAUCACGCCUAAUUUUAAGAGCAAGAAGUUAAGAGUAAUCACAUUGUAUAAGUAUACAAUUAUUUUUUUAAUAAUUAUGCUUAGUAAUUAAAAAUAAUCGGAUUGUUUUACUUUCUAAAUUGUGCAGUUCAGAACCAAUCGAAUAACGCGCGAAUAAUAUAAUUAUAUAAUCUCCAAAUAAUCAGCUGAAAGUAUGUUUAUUUAUAGGAAAUCUUUCUUUUACAAUUGAAAGAAAUUUCAGUAUUUCUUUGCCCAUUUAACCGAAUUAGAAUAUUUAAUAGCAAUGUAAUUUAAUUUAACCGCAGUUUAAUUAUCGAACGAUUUUAUUCUAAAUUUUCACGUAUGUCCCUCUUCAAUUUAGACAUCACCCAUCUCUUCUAUCCCUAUUAUUUUCAAACAUGUUAUUUCUGAACUUGCAGGAAGUGAGUAUUUAUUGGAGAAUCUUUAGCUGUUCCUAUUAAAUUUUUUUAAUUAAAUUUCUUCCCCAUUGGUACACCUAAUGUUCUUCUCAUGGCUUAAAGAUACUUGGGUAAGGGAUAAGCGAGAUCCAUAUAGGGAGAUGGUUAAUAGAUAUGGUAGAAAGCUUGAACAAAACCCACCCAAUUCCAUUUUGACCUGGAAUAAUGAAAUCAAGACUGUAAAAAUGCCACAAGUGCUUCCAAGCAUUUUGAAAAGAUAAUUUAGUCAGUUUACUUCAGAAACCAAAAAAAAUCGCAUUUCUAGAUUUUAAGAACAGUCUUAA